rnacentral:RNase_P_RNA from 1 species
UUGACGGUCCAGAGAGCCGCCUCCGGCUUAAUUGCCGGGGGAGGAACUUCCGGACUCCACAGGGAAGCGCGCCUUGCGAAAGCAAGGGCCGUGCGGGCCAAAAUCCGCACGGACGGAAAGUGCCACAGAAAACAUACCGCCUUCGGGCAAGGGUGAAAAGGUGCGGUAAGAGCGCACCGCGCACAAAGCAAUGCGUGCGGCAGGGCAAACCCCGCGCGGAGCAAGGCCAAAUAUGCCCAUGCGUGUCCCGCGCCAGAGGCAGAGUAGGCCGCUUAGAGUAAUGGUUCUCACGGGUCUUUAGGCCCGACAGAAUCCGGGGUAUGGGCCGUCAUCUAU